rnacentral:lncRNA from 1 species
CGCUAAUAUUAUAGUCAUUCCAUCAACUAACCCUAGGGACACUACAGUUAAAAUAAAAUUACACUGUUUAAUUUUUUUUUUUUUGCAUUUUUAAAUAAAAUUGCACCACACUACAACAAAAACGGUCUAUAGCGACACUUUUAAAUAUAGGUACAUGUCAAAAAAGUGCUGCUAGGUAAAAUUACCGACACUUUUAAAAAGUGUUACUAUAUGUGGGGUCGCUAGGUAUAUAGUGACAGUUAAAGAGUGUCGCUAUAACCUAAAAGAGUGCUACUAAUUUACUAAUACUUAUUUAAGCAUUUAGCAACCGCCGAAACUCUAUCUCGUUGGCUGCGGUGGCGGAGGAGGACGACAGAAAAGGCUCUUCGUCUAGAAUUUCAGUAGAUUGAGUGAAGAGAGAAGAAAAGAUGGCAAUUGAUUUUUCUUUUUUUUUUCUUUUCUGUUUGUAAUCGGGCCAAAUGGACUGGGUGUGGUGGGUUGAGUAGAGUAAUCUUUUAUUUUUGGUUGGAUUGGGCUUUAUAUUUAGGCAUUAGCAAAUAUUUUUUUAAGUUUUAGUAUAAAUGGGACACUUACUCAAAAGUGUCCCAAACAUGUGUCCCUAUAACCUAAUUGU